AGUGCCUGCUAUGUGCCAGGCAUUGUGCU
ensembl:miRNA